rnacentral:rRNA from 1 species
UACGUAGGGUGCAAGCGUUGUCCGGAAUUAUUGGGCGUAAAGAGCUUGUAGGCGGUCUGUCGCGUCUGCUGUGAAAAUCCGGGGCUCAACCCCGGGACUUGCAGUGGGUACGGGCAGACUAGAGUGUGGUAGGGGGAGACGUGGAAUUCCUGGUGUAGCGGUGAAAUGCGCAGAUAUCAGGAGGAACACCGAUGGCGAAGGCAGGUCUCUGGGCCGUAACUGACGCUGAGGAGCGAAGGCAUGGGGAGCGAACAGG